UACGAAGGGGGCUAGCGUUGUUCGGAAUUACUGGGCGUAAAGCGCGCGUAGGCGGUGACGCAAGUCAGUGGUGAAAUCCCGGGGCUCAACCUCGGAAUUGCCAUUGAAACUGCAUCGCUGGAGUCUCGAAGGGGGUGGUGGAAUUCCAAAUGUAGAGGUGAAAUUCGUAGAUAUUUGGAGGAACACCAGUGGCGAAGGCGGCCACCUGGUCGAGUACUGACGAUGAGGCGCGAAAGAGUGGGGAGCAAACAGG
rnacentral:rRNA from 1 species